ensembl:lncRNA
CUGCGUAAGUUGGUUCCACAUUGUUGUUUUCUAUGCCAUGCCUUUUUGUUUCCCUGGGGAGUGGUUUGGCGUUGCACCGGUGUGUCUAGCCUCAGUGGGCGCUGAUGCACGGAGCUGCUUUUAGAUGUUCCGUGAACUAGCUUGAGCCGGUGGCAGUUUGCUACAGGAUUUCGUGGCCGCGUGAGAUUUGGCAUGGGCUACGGGGUUUCCUGGCCGCGUGGGAUUCGGCAUAGUGGAGAGAGAUAUUCUGGAUUGUGUGUGUCGCCCGUGUUAUUUUGUCUCCUUUAAAAGGAUAUGUCUAGCUUGAGAAGGCGCUGAUCCAUGGAGCUGAAUGGAGAGAGAUAUGCUGGAUUGUGUGUGACGCCAGUGUUUUUUUGUCCUUUAAAAUAAAUAAACCUCCAUAACUCGA